rnacentral:rRNA from 1 species
CGUUAAAACUGAGGCCGCGGGGAGUCCCUGGAAGGAUCAUUACUGUGAUUUAGUACUACACUGCGUGAGCGGAACGAAAACAACAACACCUAAAAAUGUGGAAUAUAGCAUAUAGUCGACAAGAGAAAUCUACGAAAAACAAACAAAACUUUCAACAACGGAUCUCUUGGUUCUCGCAUCGAUGAAGAGCGCAGCGAAAUGCGAUACCUAGUGUGAAUUGCAGCCAUCGUGAAUCAUCGAGUUCUUGAACGCACAUUGCGCCCCUCGGCAUUCCGGGGGGCAUGCCUGUUUGAGCGUCGUUUCCAUCUUGCGCGUGCGCAGAGUUGGGGGAGCGGAGCGGACGACGUGUAAAGAGCGUCGGAGCUGCGACUCGCCUGAAAGGGAGCGAAGCUGGCCGAGCGAACUAGACUUUUUUUCAGGGACGCUUGGCGGCCGAGAGCGAGUGUUGCGAGACAACAAAAAGCUCGACCUCAAAUCAGGUAGGAAUACCCGCUGAACUUAAGCAUAUCAAUAGAGGGAAGGGAAGGAUCAUUACUGUGAUUUAGUACUACACUGCGUGAGCGGAACGAAAACAACACACCUAAAAAGGUGGAAUAUAGCAUAAUAGUCACAAGAAGAAAUCUUCGAAAA